GUUAAACAGAUGGUCUCCAGACACUGAGAUCUCAAAACGCAAGUGCCUGGGGCCAAGUGCAGGGAGACCGUGAGAUGCUGUAGGAGUAGUUUACUGACAAUGGCAUCCAGAAGGUCUUCCUUGAGAGGCCAACAAUGUAGCAGAUUAUUUUGGCUAAGAAAAAUAGGAGAAAAUUGCUGCUCCCCUCCACAAAGGAAGAGCAUGAGGGUCUGAACUUGACAGCCGGACGCAUCAUACCCAGGGCAACGAGGCAAGUCUGGACUCCACCUAGCAGUGAGUGCAAAGGAAUGCACCCCACAAGGAACGGCCGCUAAUGAACCUGCUGUGAACCAGACAAAAUCCAAGAUGGGCACUGUUUUACAUAGCUUUUGUUUAUUUAUUGCUAAGACACUGAAAACACUUGCUAAGGAUGGGGAGUCCAGGUGUAAACAUAAGAAAGCCUACUUCUAAAAUUGCCGUGAUAGAAAAUUUUCAAAGUUUAAUAGACAUAAAAGCAUAACUAGCAAAAUUCAGGGGAAAAUCUUCCAUAAAUUAACAGAAGCAAAAAACAUCUGGUUGCAACAGCUUCCACCCUUGAAUAGAAAAUCUUACGAAGCCUUGAUCAACAAGACUUAAGAGGGACCUUCCAUGUUCAGG